ACAGGAGAUGAGGCCAAGGGCAGAAACUGAUGUGCAGGAAGCUCCACUGAACAUAAGGAAGAAUUUCUGUACUGUGCAAGUGACCGUGCACUGGAACAGAGUGCACAGAGGAGCUGUGGAGUCUCCCUCACUGGAGAUAUUCCAGAACCAUCCCUCACUGGAGAUGUUCCAGAACCAUCUGAACACAGUUCUGUGCCGGGUGCUCUAGGGUGACCCUGACUGAGCAGGGAGGUUGGACCAGAUGACCCACUGGUCAUAUUCUAAUUUCAAUAACUCUACUACAUCAAUCACCUCUUUGAUUGUGAAAAGAGCACUGACCUCAUCUAGGUGUAUCGUGUGUGCCAUGAAACCAUCCCUCAGCGUGGCUGACUCACUUUUAAUGAAGUUGUGCACAAUUACUGCGGGGCAAAAAAAAUUGUAAAAGGGCGCUAUGCUUAAUCUGACACUUAUCCAGAUGCUGGGCAGAGGUAGGUAUGAAGAAAAGUUGUAUAAAUAAAUUAAAAUGCUAAUAAUAUUCCCCCAGUGACAAGUACUAGAGCUGAUUUCUGCAACAAAGCAGAAGUGGCAGCUCACCAAACACAGCUGGAAUGUGCUCCAUGGUUGCCUGCAGGAAAGGUGUGUGCUAUUUCACAGCAAAUAUUUACAACCCAUUAACAUGUGCAGUUUAAAAGACCAAGUGAAAAUUCCUCUGAGUUCUUUUAACUUUGUUCCCUAUUUUCAGAGUGUAAAAAAAAAAUAAAGUUAAUAUGUAGCUGCUCCUGCUAAUAUUGAUGAUUGUAGAAAACUGACUACUGGGGGUGGGAAGGGGAGGAAGCAAAGGAAGAUGCAUUUUUGCAUCUGAGAAACAUUCUUGCCAUAGUUCUGUGGGAAUUUGUGGCUGACUUCAGAGAUAAAAUUUAACCCCUUAUACUUGGCCUUAAAGAGUCAGUUGACAAGUUGGUACAAACCCGUGAUGCCUUGCCUCGUAUUCAUGUUUCCAGAAUAAAUUAAAAGUGUUGUAAAAGUUUCCACUUGUCCAAACUGUGAAAUAUUUUCCUUUAUCAUGUAGCAGAAAAGUAAAUCAAGUAUGUAAUUAUGAGCUCAAAAAUUCCAUCUUGAUAUUUUCUUGGAAAAAAACAAAGCAAACAAACCAUAAAACAAAACCAAACCCUGAACACACCAUUAAAUGUAAGUAUGACUUUUAAGGGCUAAAUUGUAUCCACUAAAUAUAAGCAUCUAUGGAUACUAAAAUAUUUACAAGCCUUCUAAUGGAUUACUUAUCUGGUUUUAGCAGAGCAAUAAUAAUCUAUAAGUGCCUGGUUUGGGGAAACCCCCGAUUCCAUCCAGGCUGUGGGAUGAGCAGAUUGAGAGCAGCCUGCCCAGGAGGAUUUGGGGGUGCUGGUGGAUGAGAGGCUGGACAUGACUCAGAAACAGGUCAGCUCACAGCCCAAAAAUCCAAAUGUGCCUGGGCUGCAUCCAAAGCCCCUGGGCAGCAGGGCAGGGAGGGGAUUCUGUCCCUCUACUCUGCUCUGGUGAGACCCCAACUGGAAUAUUGCAUCCAGCUCUGGGGUGCCCAGAGGAAGAAAGACCUCUUGUAGUGAGUCCAAAGGAGGCCACCAAGAUGAUCAGAGGGAUGGAGCACCUCUCCUACAAGGAAAAGCUGGGAGAAUUGGAAUUGUUCAUCCUGGAGAAGUCUUUGGGGUGACCUUAUUGUGGCCUUCCAAUGCCUGAGGGGAGCCUGCAAGAAAGAUGGAGAAGGAAUUUUUACAAGGUCCUGUGGGGACAGGACAGGACAGGACAUGCAAACUAAAAGAAAGUAGGUUUAGAUUAGAUAUUGGGGGAAAAUUCUUUACAGUGAGGGUGGUGAGGCACUGGCACUGGCUGCCCAGAGAAGCUGUGGAUGCCCCAUCCCUGGCAGUGUUCAAGGCCAGGCUGGAUGGAGCUCUGAGCCACCUGGACUAGGGGAAGAUGUCCCUGCCCAUGGCAAGAGAGUUGGAACUAGAUGAUCUUAAAGGUCUCUUCCAACCUGAACUUUCCUAUAAUUCUAUGAUUUUAUAUUUUCUUCACUGAACAAAUAAUAAUGAGCAUAAAAGCCAUGUUGGAUUAACUCAAAGAGCUCUUUAGCCAUAGUGUAUAAACACAUGGAACUAGGCAUCUGCUUAGGAAGGGAUCUCUACAGAAAUGCUGUCCUAUGUAGAGACUGAAGGAGAAAACAACCUUUCAACUGGAUUUUAUGUUUAACAACAAUAUAGCAAAUGCAUGUAAGUAAAUAAGCAAAUGUGACAAUGAUGCCAAAAACUGAAAAGAAAAAGCAGCUUUUUUUUCAAGUUCUGUUUCUCUUGUCUACUCUUUAGAAAAUGCAUAUGUAUUUACUGCAAAAAAAAAAAAAAAAAAAUCCAGUUUUGGCUGCUAAUAGCAUUUCUUCUUAGCUCUAUGAUAGUAUACUAGUCAGGCAUCUCUAAGAUGAGAAAAAAUACAGAUGUGGGAAAGUGCCACUAGAGGGUUUGGAAAGAACUUUUCAUACCUCAAAUCUAGGGAUCAAACUGAAGUUUAACUGCUGUAUGACAAUACAAGGUAGAAUAGCACCCUUGGAAUAACAAGACUAAAAUUUUUUCAUGCAUAAACGUAUCCACCAUGUAAUAAAAUAAACUACAGUGUGUCACCAAUGCAGUGGAGAAAAUGAAUACAGCAGUGGUCUGACUGCUUUUAUAAAAUGUGUGUUAGACUCAAGUGAAUGCAGGCAAUAAAAUGACACAUAUCUAUUGUGUAAAGCCAGCACAAAAGGAUGCCCUAGAUUUUCUUUCCAAAAAAAGUGUUGUAAACAAGGGGUUCUGUAGCCCUGAGAAUUUUAUUACAAUUUUAGCAUCUACAGGUUUUUCUCUUGUCUGGCUUGGUACAUAUAUCUCCUUCUUCACCUGCACUGUUAUCUGAAAAACAGGAAGAUAAAAUAGCACAGCUUUUUAUAUUCUGUAGUAAUAAACUUUCGUUGUUUGUUUUUAUCUUCCAAUGUUCCUCUAAGCCUGUGAAGCAUUAUUGCAUCUUUCUUCACCUCUGUGGAAUGACACAUGACAGUAUUAUACCAAAAAGUUACUGGGAGUAUUACCCCUCAGAGGGACAAAUGGCAACUUUCCACCAGGCUUAAAAAUCAAGACUCUUCUAUUAUUAGGAAAAAAAAGCCACCUUUUAAUUUUUUUAAAUUUUUUUUAAAGAAAGGAACUUGUUAGCAUCUAGGCUUUGUAGGGUCCCCCCCACCACCCUUUUAAACCACUUUUUGCUGAAGUAUUUUGAAGAUUAGAAGAAAAUUUAAAUAUUUCUAUCAACAGACAUGCAUAAAUGAUCUGCAAAGUGUCAAAAUGCUUUUGUUAGUCCUCAAGGUUCACAAAUAGAAACAGCAAAAAUGUGGAUUACUGCAGUAAAGUUUGUUUCUUUAGUUUUGAACUUGUAAGAAUACAAUGAGGGGAAAAAAAGGGAGACCAUAAUUAUUGUGAAAACUUGUUAAGAAACACAUCUUAGUGGAAAGUAUUUCUGUCUUCAGGAACAAUAAAUAUUUGAGGAUCUUG